AUGGAUGGGUGGAUAGAUGGAUGGAUAGAUGGGUAUAUGGAGGGAUGGGUGGAUGGAAAUCAUGACAGGUAGGAGGUCUUCCGGAGGGCAAAUUUUAUCACCCUUAAGGAAGAAGAAGUGAGUGAGGAGGUGUCUGGUGAUAUCAAGGCUCUUGGAGGGGGUAUAUGUCUGACUUGCCUGGACAGCUGGGAACAACCUCUGGGGCAGUUUCACAAAGAUCUGUCUGCCUGCUGAGUUAAGAGCAAAGGCCAAAAGGUGAGCCCUGUGGUGGCUGUUACCUACCCCAUGAACCCUGAAAAUGACCUGGAACAUCAAAAGAAAAAAUGCUACACAAGCCUGAGCCCAACCAGAGACCAUCUGAAUUACAUCUCAAAGGAGCAUGCAUGACAUUUUUACAAUGUCCCCAGUUCUGUGUGUAUCGAUGAAGAUGACAAACGCAAGAUGAACAAAUAAAAUGAAGACGCUGUAGAAAAAAAAAAAAGAAAAGAAAAGAAAAGAAAAAGGUAUGCAUUCCAUAGCAGACAAAGUGAAACAUCUCUCCCCUGUGUUAACUUUUCAUAGCUUCUUGGGUAUAAUUAGACCAGCCCACACGGUACUAAAAAUUACAGGCUCUUGAAUAACUCACUCCACUAGUGACUGUUUAUUUAUUGUUGAAUUUAUGUGAACAGUUCUCAUUGCAAGAUACCUCGAGAUAGGUAUGGGAAAGGAAUGUCAAACUAGGAGACAAAUAAACCACCCUGCUAACUUCUAAGGGAAAUUCUUGACUGGUGUUAAAGAUAAUACCCGCCUCUGUGCUUGGAAGAUAAUCCCAAGCAACUAACCCUUUGUUUUCUCCUUGGUUUGCAUCUGGGGCUGGGGGAGGCAAGACAAAGCUAGAGGAAACUCCCGAUUCACUGGGAUUUUGUCAGUUUGCAAGUGAGCAACCUUUGUAUAGCAGAAGCUGAGGGAGACGUAUCUUUGUAAGAACUGUAAUAAAGUAUUUCUGGAAUCCUCUGUUGGGUGUGUAGUGAAGUUCUCCCACCACUACCCCGGGCCCCAAGGCAUUUGACCUAGGAGGAAAGAAAUAACACUUCCAAACAGAGGCUUUUGUUUCCAGAGCCUGUAGAAGCAGCAGGGCAAAAGAAUGAAACAGUAUCCCCGACAAACAGAAGGCCAGAGGAGAACUGGGUGGGUCCACUUGGCAUACAAACCUUGGACAAUCUCUCUAAUUCAGCAACUUUUUCUGGGCAGCUCUGGAGAUCAAAGGGAGAACGCAACAUCAUUUUCAGAGCUGUAUAUUUCGCAGAAAAGACGCGGAUUCCAUAACAAUCUAUCUCUCCUGCUACAGACCGUGGACCGACGUGUUUUAUAAAACUUAUCCCAAGCUUGUCUCUUUCGCCCAGGAGAGAGACUGCGUUGACGGGUGCCAAGAGUAUAUUUGCGUGGAACAUUGUACCGGCUGAGAAAUGCAAUGCCAAAGUCAUGGCGGGAGGAGAGGAAACAAUGCCGUGUUUGUAUAAUUUUAAGUUGUAAAAGCUCUAUAAAUAGAAGGGAUAAAUAGGAGGAGUUUUCAACCUAUUUUUGCUGGCACGUAUGUAGGUAAUGUUGCAUUACUUGCAUUUGCAAGUUGCUCUUAGAUAAAUUCACUAGCACAAACACUGCACUCAACACCUCUAAGAGCCUCUAAAGCUCAUUGCUAUGAUUCCUGAAAAUGCGAUUGGAUUUACUAAGGACAUCUUAAGUUUUCUUUGGGAAGAUAUCAAACACAGCUUUUCACUGAGAGUUGCUGCUUCAAAACUUCCAAAGUUUUCUUUCCAGGGUGAAGAUUGCCUCCCAAGAAGUGAUGCCUCCAUGGGGAACGGUUUUCUAUACACAAACAGUGUGACAGAUAAGAUUGUUCUUUAAACUAUUUCGACUGCGGUGCCGAAACGUUAAUGAGAUUUGAGCUGAUUCACCUCGUGGAGUCCGCAGACUCACAAAUGUCCUUUUUGUGUUUCUUCAGUUCCUAUGUUUUGGGCAUUAAACUUCAGUUUACGUCA